rfam:Schistosoma mattheei strain Denwood, Zambia genome assembly, scaffold: SMTD_scaffold0009936
GUACUGCUGAGGAGUCCCAUGAUAAGACGAAACGGACGUCCAGUGA